CGUGAUCCGGGUUGCGGACAGUGUCUGGUGGGUAGUUUGACUGGGGCGGUCUCCUCCUAAAGAGUAACGGAGGAGCACGAAGGUUGGCUAAUCCUGGUCGGACAUCAGGAGGUUAGUGCAAUGGCAUAAGCCAGCUUGACUGCGAGCGUGACGGCGCGAGCAGGUGCGAAAGCAGGUCAUAGUGAUCCGGUGGUUCUGAAUGGAAGGGCCAUCGCUCAACGGAUAAAAGGUACUCCGGGGAUAACAGGCUGAUACCGCCCAAGAGUUCAUAUCGACGGCGGUGUUUGGCACCUCGAUGUCGGCUCAUCACAUCCUGGGGCUGAAGUAGGUCCCAAGGGUAUGGCUGUUCGCCAUUUAAAGUGGUACGCGAGCUGGGUUUAGAACGUCGUGAGACAGUUCGGUCCCUAUCUGCCGUGGGCGCUGGAGAACUGAGGGGGGCUGCUCCUAGUACGAGAGGACCGGAGUGGACGCAUCACUGGUGUUCGGGUUGUCAUGCCAAUGGCACUGCCCGGUAGCUAAAUGCGGAAGAGAUAAGUGCUGAAAGCAUCUAAGCACGAAACUUGCCCCGAGAUGAGUUCUCCCUGAGACUUAGAGUCUCCUGAAGGAACGUUGAAGACGACGACGUUGAUAGGCCGGGUGUGUAAGCGCAGCGAUGCGUUGAGCUAACCGGUACUAAUGAACCGUGAGGCUUAACCUUACAACGCCGAAG
rnacentral:rRNA from 3 species